rnacentral:ribozyme from 1 species
GCCAUCCGAAAAUGCUGCCUCUACGUGGCGGGUGGCAGGCAACGGAGCGUGGUGCAACUUCCUCCGGCUAAAGCAUAA